rnacentral:hammerhead_ribozyme from 1 species
AAGCGAAACCACCCCGCUAUCUGGCGGGAUGGUCUACCCGAUGUGGUGAUCGGGUACUGAUGAGCAGCCGACC